rnacentral:tRNA from 1 species
GUCUCGGUAGCUCAGUUGGCAGAGCACAUGGCUGUGGACCAUGGGGUCGGAGGUUCGAGUCCUCCCCGAGACG